UGCGUAGGCGGACUAAUAAGUCAGUGGUGAAAUCUCUCGGCUCAACCGGGAAACUGCCAUUGAUACUGUUAGUCUUGAGUUCGGUUGAGGUAGGCGGAAUGUGUAAUGUAGCGGUGAAAUGCUUAGAUAUUACACAGAACACCAAUUGCGUAGGCAGCUUACUAGACCGACACUGACGCUGAGGCACGAAAGCGUGGGUAGCGAACAGGAUUAGAUACCCUGGAGUCC
rnacentral:rRNA from 1 species